rnacentral:rRNA from 1 species
CAGUAGCCGCGGUAAUACGGAGGGCGCGAGCGUUACCCGGAUUUACUGGGCGUAAAGGGCGUGUAGGCGGCCUGGGGCGUCCCAUGUGAAAGGCCACGGCUCAACCGUGGAGGAGCGUGGGAUACGCUCAGGCUAGAGGGUGGGAGAGGGUGGUGGAAUUCCCGGAGUAGCAGUGAAAUGCGCAGAUACCGGGAGGAACGCCGAUGGCGAAGGCAGCCACCUGGUCCACUUCUGACGCUGAGGCGCGAAAGCGUGGGGAGCAAACCGGAUUAGAUACCCCCGUAGUCCCUGUCUCUUAUAC